CAGUAGGAUACCCGCUGAACUUAAGCAUAUCAAUA
rnacentral:rRNA from 1 species